GGCGGGGUGCCGGAGCGGCCGAACGGGGCGGUCUUGAAAACCGCUAACGGGGCAACUCGUUCGUGGGUUCAAAUCCCACCCCCGCCGCCA
rnacentral:tRNA from 1 species